UCACAAUUUCUUGCAAUUGGAGGUUCAAAUCUUAACCAAAACGAAAUCCGAGCUUAGAAUUGUGAUCCUCAUCGCAAGAGGAUUAAGAGGCAAAGAGUCCGGUUCAUCUAGCGGACAAGCCAGAGGGAGUUCACGAGGAAAAGACGCGCUCUAAAAGUUUUCAGGUACUCAAGUGAAGGAUGAUGAUCAAGCAAUCGAUUCGAACCGAACACCUAACGUUACGCUUCCGCACUUGAUCCAUGU